rnacentral:rRNA from 1 species
AUUAACGCUAGCGGCAGGCAUAAUACAUGCAAGUUGAACGGCAGCACAGGUAGCAAUACUGGGUGGCGAGUGGCGCACGGGUGCGUAACACGUAUGCAACCUACCCUAUACAGGCGAAUAACCUUUAGAAAUGAGGGCUAAUACGCCGUAGUAUUACAGAUGGGCAUCUAUUUGUAAUUAAAGAUUUAUCGGUAUAGGAUGGGCAUGCGUCCCAUUAGUUAGUUGGCAAGGUAACGGCUUACCAAGACGAUGAUGGGUAGGG